UACGGGGGGGGCAAGCGUUGUUCGGAAUUACUGGGCGUAAAGGGCUCGUAGGCGGCCAACUAAGUCGGACGUGAAAUCCCCAGGCUCAACCUAGGAACUGCGUCCGAUACUGGAUGGCUUGAAUCCGGGAGAGGGAUGCAGAAUUCCAGGUGUAGCGGUGAAAUGCGUAGAUAUCUGGAGGAAUACCGGUGGCGAAGGCGGCAUCCUGGACCGGCAUUGACGCUGAGGAGCGAAAGCCAGGGGAGCAAACGGG
rnacentral:rRNA from 1 species